rnacentral:rRNA from 1 species
GACGGAGGAUGCAAGCGUUAUCCGGAAUGAUUGGCGUAAAGCGUCUGCAGGUGGCAGUUCAAGUCUGCUGUCAAAGACCGGGGCUUAACUUCGGAAAGGCAGUGGAAACUGAACAGCUAGAGUAUGGUAGGGGCAGAGGGAAUUCCUGGUGUAGCGGUGAAAUGCGUAGAGAUCAGGAAGAACAUCGGUGGCGAAGGCGCUCUGCUGGACCAUAACUGACACUCAGGGACGAAAGCUAGGGGAGCGAAUGGG